CCUACGGGAGGCAGCAGUGGGGAAUAUUGGGCAAUGGGCGCAAGCCUGACCCAGCAACGCCGCGUGAAGGAAGAAGGCUUUCGGGUUGUAAACUUCUUUUCUGAGGGACGAAGAAAGUGACGGUACCUCAGGAAUAAGCCACGGCUAACUACGUGCCAGCAGCCGCGGUAAUACGUAGGUGGCAAGCGUUAUCCGGAUUUAUUGGGUGUAAAGGGCGUGGAGGCGGGAAAGCAAGUCAGAUGUGAAAACUCAGGGCUCAACCCUGAGCCUGCAUUUGAAACUGUUUUUCUUGAGUGCUGGAGGGGCAAUCGGAAUUCCGUGUGUUGCAGUGAAAUGCGUAGAUAUACGGAGGAACACCAGUGGCGAAGGCGGAUUGCUGGACAGUAACUGACGCUGAGGCGCGAAGGCGUGGGGAGCAAACAGGAUUAGAUACCCCAGUAGUC
rnacentral:rRNA from 1 species